rnacentral:rRNA from 1 species
CCUACGGGAGGCAGCAGUGAGGAAUAUUGGUCAAUGGUCGGGAGACUGAACCAGCCAAGCCGCGUGAGGGAUGAAGGUACAGAGUAUCGUAAACCUCUUUUGUCAGGGAACAAAGGCGGGGACGUGUCCCCGGCUGAGUGUACCUUACGAAAAAGCAUCGGCUAACUCCGUGCCAGCGGCCGCGGUAAUACGGAGGAUGCGAGCGUUAUCCGGAUUUAUUGGGUUUAAGGGGUGCGCAGGCGGUCUGUUAAGUCAGCGGUCAAAGCCCGGGGCUCAACCCCGGCCCGCCGUUGAAACUGGCAGUCUCGAGUUGGAGAGAAGUAGGCGGAAUGCGCGGUGUAGCGGUGAAAUGCAUAGAUAUCGCGCAGAACUCCGAUUGCGAAGGCAGCAUGCCGGCUCCACACUGACGCUGAGGCACGAAAGCGUGGGUAUCGAACAGGAUUAGAUACCCUUGUAGUC